rnacentral:rRNA from 1 species
UUGGUCAUUUAGAGGAAGUAAAAGUCGUAACAAGGUUUCCGUAGGUGAACCUGCGGAAGGAUCAUUAUUGAAAUAAACCUGAUGGGGUUGUCGCUGGCUCUCUUGGGAGCAUGUGCACGCCUUGUCAUCUUUAUAUCUCCACCUGUGCACUUUUUGUAGUCCUCUCUCAGGUCUAUGUUGCUUCAUUUGCCCCAAUGUAUGUCAAUAGAAUGUUGUGCCUAUAAUAACAUAUACAACUUUCAGCAACGGAUCCCUUGG